rnacentral:rRNA from 1 species
AGAGUUUGAUCCUGGCUCAGGACGAACGCUGGCGGUGCGCUUUAUGCAUGCAAGUCGAGCGAAGCUUUUCAGUAGUUUACUACAGAAAAUGACUGAGCGGCGAACGGGUGAGUAACGCGUGAGCAAUCUACCUUAGUUACAGGGAUAGCCCGAGGAAACUCGGAUUAAUACCUGAUAUUCUUUAUUUCUCGCAUGAGAAUAAAAGGAAAGGUCAGCCGAACUAAGAUGAGCUCGCGUUCUAUCAGCUAGUUGGUGAGGUAAUAGCUCACCAAGGCUACGACGGAUAGCUGGUCUGAGAGGACGAUCAGCCACACUGGGACUGAGACACGGCCCAGACUCCUACGGGAGGCUGCAGCAGGGAAUAUUGCGCAAUGAGCGAAAGCUUGACGCAGCGACACCGCGUGUGGGAUGACGGAUCUAGGUUUGUAAACCACUUUCAGGAGGGAAGAAAAUGACGGUACCUCCACAAGAAGCCCCGGCCAACUACGUGCCAGCAGCCGCGGUAAUACGUAGGGGGCGAGCGUUGUCCGGAUUUAUUGGGCGUAAAGAGCUCGUAGGCGGUUCAACAAGUCGGUCGUGAAAGUUCAGGGCUCAACCCUGAAAUGUCGAUCGAUACUGUUGUGACUAGGAUACGGUAGAGGUGAGUGGAAUUCCGAGUGUAGCGGUGAAAUGCGUAGAUAUUCGGAGGAACACCAAUUGCGAAGGCAGCUCACUGGGCCGCUAUCGACGCUGAGGAGCGAAAGCUAGGGGAGCAAACAGGAUUAGAUACCCUGGUAGUCCUAGCUGUAAACGAUGGAUACUAGACGUAGGAACUGGAUUGACGGUUUCUGUGUCGUAGCUAACGCGUUAAGUAUCCCGCCUGGGGAGUACGGUCGCAAGACUAAAACUCAAAGGAAUUGACGG